rnacentral:rRNA from 1 species
UACGGAGGGUGCAAGCGUUAUCCGGAUUCACUGGGCUUAAAGGGUGCGUAGGCGGGUCGGUAAGUCAGUGGUGAAAUCUCCGAGCUUAACUUGGAAACUGCCAUUGAUACUAUCAGUCUUGAAUAUUGUGGAGGUCAGCGGAAUAUGUCAUGUAGCGGUGAAAUGCUUAGAUAUGACAUAGAACACCAAUUGCGAAGGCAGCUGGCUACACAUAUAUUGACACUGAGGCACGAAAGCGUGGGGAUCAAACAGG